ACGGGGCCCGCACAAGCGGUGGAGUAUGUGGUUUAAUUCGAUGCAACGCGAAGAACCUUACCUGGUCUUGACAUCCCGGAGACCCUUAGGAAACUAGGGGGUGCUUCCAUCUGGAAGAAUCUGGAGACAGGUGCUGCAUGGCUGUCGUCAGCUCGUGUCGUGAGAUGUUGGGUUAAGUCCCGCAACGAGCGCAACCCUUGCCUUUAGUUGCCAGCAGUUCGGCUGGGCACUCUAAAGGGACUGCCGGUGUUAAACCGGAGGAAGGUGGGGAUGACGUCAAGUCCUCAUGGCCUUUAUGACCAGGGCUACACACGUACUACAAUGGCCGAUACAAAGGGCAGCGACACUGCGAAGUGAAGCCAAUCCCGUAAAAUCGGUCUCAGUCCGGAUUGGAGUCUGCAACUCGACUCCAUGAAGUUGGAAUCGCUAGUAAUCGUGGAUCAGCAUGCCACGGUGAAUACGUUCCCGGGCCUU
rnacentral:rRNA from 1 species